CCCUCCUGGUUCUCUGCGUCCCUGCCCUCCUCAAGGCCGGUGGCAGUGGUCCUUGGGCCCAGAUCUUUACUUCCGUAGUGCGGGAGGUGGGGCAGGGUCUUCUUCCUUGCGAGAUGCUUCUUUGACACCCUCAGAACGCCGAGGACGGGGGCUGUCUGAGCCAGGGUAGCAGCGGGGCGCGUCUUUCCUGGAGAGACUGGGCCCCAGUGGCCGGGGCCUUGGCCUUGCUGUGAGGCCUGGGGUGCUGCCAGGUGGGGUGGGGAGCCCCUGCCUGCCUCUCUCCUCUCUUACUUUACUUUUCAACUUUUCAUGAAUAAUACUUGUGACUUCAAGAAAAAGGUUGCAGGAGUUCCAGGAGCUCCUCAGUUUUUUCAAAUCACCCGUUGCUUGUAUUUUGUUCCUUUUUUCUGUCUGUCUGUCAGUCGGUUAAUCUACACACACACAUGUAUUUUUUCCUGAACCCUCUGAGAAUAAGUCGAAGACGUCAUGUCAUUUGAUUUACCCCCCUGCAAGCUUCGAUGUGUUUCCUAAUAAGGUUAUUCUCGUUCUCUUACGUGAGCACAGUAUGACAUCAAAACCAGGACAUUUAACGUUACAACACUGUCAUCCAGUCCGCAGUCAACUUUCCGUUGUUCAAAUAAUUUCCUUUACGUGUGCGCAUAGGUAGUUUGUUUCUUUCUCUUCCCUUUUUCAGGAGAGGCUCUUUCAAUGGAACUGUGGUCUAAUUUUCUCUUAUAAGCCUCUUGAAGGAAAAAAUGUUUCUAAAAGUUAGAAUGCAUUAUUGUGAAGAAUUAGGAAGCUACAGAAAAGUAAAAGAAGGAGGAGAUGAACACCACUGUGGUUCCAGCACAGAGGCCGAGAGCCUGGCAGGGAUGGCCCAAACAUUUGUGAAUUUCAGCACUUUGGCUUUUAUUCAGUGUGAUUUGAGGAAGAGCCCAUCUGAAAGGUGAGCGUUCUCUUUUGGAGUUGAGGAUUUGUGGGGAGGAGAGUAAGAAAAGACACUCUUCUUGGAGGCGUUAAGUUUUGGACUCUGAGGUUUGAAGGAUUAAAAUUGAGCAGGGCAUUGAAAAUAAUAUUAGCAAUAGCAAUCAUACCAUUAAAUUGUUCUUCUUGAAAAGGUGGAAUGGAUUUUGUUCUCUUGUUUGAGAAGUGUUUGAAUUUUUUUGCUGAAAAUUUAGUAUUCUGUAAUUUAAAAAUCUGUAUAUAUAAUUUAUUGUUGCAGUUCUUCAAACAACUGUAAAUCAAGGGAAUUGAUUGUAUGGAACAAAAGCACGGUGACAAGAGAACUGGAACAGGAUUAAUUACCUAGUUUAUUGAAACAGUGUACAAAUAUCU
rnacentral:lncRNA from 1 species